rnacentral:snRNA from 14 species
AGCUUUGUGCAGUAGCAGUAUCAUAGCCAAUGAGGUUUAUCUGAGGCUCGAUUAUUGCUAAUUGACUAAGAGUGAUAACAUCGAAUAUCCUUGUCUUAUUUGUAAUUUCAGAGUCUUGGAAGUAUGGCCAUUUUCACUAUACUGAUUCUUCCUACCCAAGAGCAAGGGAUGUCUUUCUACUUUCUGGUAUCCUCUUCAAUCUCUUUUUUCAGAAUGCUGUAGUUUUCAGAGUAGAAAUCUUUGAUUUAUUCAAUUAG